GCAGGGAUGACGGAAGGACAACUGGAAGGCUUUCCUUUGCCUCCAAAGGCCAGAUGCUGUAUGAUCCAUUCUUAAAUCACUGCAGAGAAUGUAGUCAUCUCACAGAAGUCUGUCCCUCCUGCCCUUUAAUCAUCCUUGAUUUUUCUCUCUGAACUGCCUCCAGUAUGUCUACAUUCUUUGCUGGAAAAGUCACUGGGGCUGCCGCUGCUACUGCUGCCUGCCUUUGAGAAAUUCAAUCGUGCUGACUGGGGGAACCUGGGGAGAGCUGACUACUCCUUCCUUCGGUUUGUAAUGGCCCCAAAGACCAUUUAAUCAUCUGCGGAUGACACAAAGGCCGCGCUGUGAGAGCCGGAUGUGGAGGCAAUUUGCUAGCAGCUCAGGCUGUACACGUAACCACGCAAAGCUUGACAUGCCAUCCUCAACCCUGCGCCCAUGUAUGCUGGUGAACACAUUCAAAAUAGCUGCAAGAGCUGGGAACUUCUGAGAGGAUGCCUCUGGACACAGAUCUGUCCCCCUUCUUACGAGCAUUUCUCCUGACAAAGUUUUAGGAUUUGUAAUUCAGAAAAGCCACUUGCUGUUGACUAAUGCAUGCCAAUUAAGUUCAGCCCAUUGAAUCAACAGUUUCCUGUUACCUGUUCCUUCAGGUAGAACAGCGGCUGAUACCCCUGCCCUUUCCCAGGCUUCUGUGCAGGGACCUUUCCUGCCCGAAAACAGUGGGGACACCUGUUUUCUGAGCAGGGAAGGCCAGCACCUGAAAUCCUAGGAAUGGUCCCGCUAUUGAAAACAGGGGGCUUGAUAAGGCAGCCACUGUGAUAGGCAGUGGAAAUUUGAUGAUGAAAGGAGAUGCCUAAUAGAUUAAUCUGGUGUGAUUUGCCAAAACACAGGGUUUUCUGGAAGAUUAUGCACACUCGCAAUAGGAAGCCCUUUGUUUUGUGAAAGUCCCCACUUAUCAUGGUAUUCUUUAUCUCAACAAGAAACAUAAUGGUUUACUUGUUUACAUGCAUGGCAGAUAUAUUCAGAGCUGGGCUUAGGAACUGUGAACUCCUUUUCAUUUGAAACAUUUCCAGCAGGCAGGUUAUUAGCUGAGGGGGAACAAGCAGUUGGACACACAUAAAAUUUAAAUCUGCCUUGCUUAGAUUGGCAAAAAUGAAUGUUAUUUCAUCCACCGGGAAAAUGUUUUACUUCCUGCUCAAAUACUUUUGGAAGAAAAUCACAAGCUCAUUUGUAGCCAUCAUAU
rnacentral:lncRNA from 1 species